GGUGGAGCGAUUUGUCUGGCCAGUCCCGAUAACGAACGAGACUCUGGCCUACUAACUAGUGACGGCGUGGUCUUUUCGCCGAGCACUUCUUAGAGGGACCAGCGGCGGUACAAAGCCGCACGAGAAAGAGCAAUAACAGGUCUGUGAUGCCCUUAGAUGGGCGGGGCUGCACGCGUGCUACACUGAUGGCAUCAACGUGCGUCCAAGCCUGACCUGUGAAGGUCAGGAAAUCGAUUGAAAUGUCCGUCGUGACUGGGAUAGGGAAUUGCAAUUAUUUCCCUUGAACGCGGAAUUCCCAGUAAGCGUGAGUCAUUAGCUUGCGUUGACUACGUCCCUGCCCUUUGUACACACCGCCCGUCGCUACUACCGAUUGGAUGAUUUAGUGAGGCCUCUGGACUGACGUUGUUAUUGUCCUGCGACUUUGUUUUGCGGGGCUGUAACGUUGGAAAAUUGGCCGAACCAAUUCAUCUAGAGGAAGUAAAAGUCGUAACAAGGUUUCCGUAGGUGAACCUGCGGAAGGAUCAUUA
rnacentral:rRNA from 1 species